UUGAACGCUGGCGGCAGGCCUAACACAUGCAAGUCGAGCGGAUGAAGGGAGCUUGCUCCUGGAUUCAGCGGCGGACGGGUGAGUAAUGCCUAGGAAUCUGCCUGGUAGUGGGGGAUAACGUCCGGAAACGGGCGCUAAUACCGCAUACGUCCUGAGUGAGAAAGUGGGGGAUCUUCGGACCUCACGCUAUCAGAUGAGCCUAGGUCGGAUUAGCUAGUUGGUGGGGUAAAGGCCUACCAAGGCGACGAUCCGUAACUGGCCUGAGAGGAUGAUCAGUCACACUGGAACUGAGACACGGUCCAGACUCCUACGGGAGGCAGCAGUGGGGAAUAUUGGGAAAUGGGCGAAAGCCUGAUACAGCCAUGCCGCGUGUGUGAAGAAAGUCUUCGGAUUGGAAAGCACUUUUAGUUGGGAGGAAGGGCAGUAAGUUAAUACCUUGCUGGUUUGACGUUAACAACAGAAUAAGCACCGGCUAACUUCGUG
rnacentral:rRNA from 1 species